rnacentral:rRNA from 1 species
AUUGAACGCUGGCGGCAUGCCUUACACAUGCAAGUCGAACGGCAGCACGGGAGCAAUCCUGGUGGCGAGUGGCGAACGGGUGAGUAAUAUAUCGGAACGUGCCCAGUCGUGGGGGAUAACGUAGCGAAAGCUACGCUAAUACCGCAUACGAUCUAUGGAUGAAAGCGGGGGAUCGCAAGACCUCGCGCGAUUGGAGCGGCCGAUAUCAGAUUAGGUAGUUGGUGGGGUAAAAGCCCACCAAGCCGACGAUCUGUAGCUGGUCUGAGAGGACGACCAGCCACACUGGGACUGAGACACGGCCCAGACUCCUACGGGAGGCAGCAGUGGGGAAUUUUGGACAAUGGGCGCAAGCCUGAUCCAGCAAUGCCGCGUGCAGGAUGAAGGCCUUCGGGUUGUAACUG